rnacentral:rRNA from 1 species
GACGAACGCUGGCGGCGUGCCUAAUACAUGCAAGUAGGACGCAGAUGGGAAAGGGUGAGUAACGCGUAGGUAACUACCUAUGAGAGGGGGAUAACAAUGGGAAACGAUAGCUAAUACCGCAGACUAGUAGAUGGACCUGCGUUGUAUUUGCUAGUAGGUAGGGUAAUGGCCUACCUAGGCAACGAUACAUAGCCUACCUGGGGAGGUGAACCGCCCCACUGGGACUGGGGCACGGCCCCGACUCCUACGGUGGGCAGCCGUAGGGAAUCUUCGGCAAUGGGGCGAACCCUGACCGCGCAACGCCGCGUGAGUUGAAGAAGUUUUCGGAUCGUAAAGCUCUGUUGUUCAGGGAGCGGUACUUAACCAGAAAGGGCCGGCUAACUACGUGCCAGCCGCCGCGGUAAUAC